UUAAACGAAGUCAUGCGCACAAGUAUUAAAUUCGCCAGAAGAACAGUUAGAAUUUUGACAGGCAUGUGUGUGUGUGCCAGAGCAGCAUUUGAAAACUAUCAAAUAUAAACGUUCGAAUAAUCGAAAAAUGUGGUAUUUACUUAUGCAGCAAGCGAAUUGCAACCCUGAGCUAAUGAGCAUCGCAGCCAACUUUGCUAGCUUCCUUUACUUUAAUUCUUGCCGCAGAACGUGUUGCACUUCAAAUCCUGGAACUCUUAAAAUGUGAACUGUAAUUGUAUUGGCCGUUUGGGACGGUCCUAAUUAAAUUUGGAAAAAUUUGAACGCAGUUCUAAUGGAUUUACCGCUAUGAUAAUCUAGGCAGAAAGGUUACUCACGAACAUGUCGGGCAUUUAAUGGCUGUACGUGAAGUUGGCUGCACUUUUCGCUGGAUAAUAAUCCUGAAUUGGGUGAUUCGGAACAAUUGCAUCAGCUACAGCCUGGCAUCGUUGUACACUCAAAAUAUGCUAUAAAUAAAUAAACCUGCAUUUUGAAUUUAAAAA